AUUGAACGCUGGCGGCAGGCCUAACACAUGAAAGUCGAGCGGAUGAAGGGAGCUUGCUCCUGGAUUCAGCGGCGGACGGGUGAGUAAUGCCUAGGAAUCUGCCUGGUAGUGGGGGAUAACGUCCGGAAACGGGCGCUAAUACCGCAUACGUCCUGAGGGAGAAAGUGGGGGAUCUUCGGACCUCACGCUAUCAGAUGGGCCUAGGUCGGAUUAGCUAGUUGGUGGGGUAAAGGCCUACCAAGGCGACGAUCCGUAACUGGUCUGAGAGGAUGAUCAGUCACACUGGAACUGAGACACGGUCCAGACUCCUACGGGAGGCAGCAGUGGGGAAUAUUGGACAAUGGGCGAAAGCCUGAUCCAGCCAUGCCGCGUGUGUGAAGAAGGUCUUCGGAUUGUAAAGCACUUUAAGUUGGGAGGAAGGGCAGUAAGUUAAUACCUUGCUGUUUUGACGUUACCAACAGAAUAAGCACCGGCUAACUUCGUG
rnacentral:rRNA from 1 species